ensembl:lncRNA
CUGUCACGGCAUGCAAGCUGGAGAAGGCGCCGGUGUAGAGGUCAAGGAGGAGUCUACUGCACUCAUUUUCAGUUUCUGCCAGAGAUUUGAGGGUGAUUCCCAAGAGGUCAAAGGGCUGCCUACUUUCUGGAGCACAAGAAAACUUCCCUGAAAUCAUAGAGGGCACACCAUCCAUCGCUGAGAUGGCAGAGAAGUCGACAUGCUGGUGUUCCUCAUCAGCCCGAGUGCUCUUUCCGCCUUGGAAGGUAGCAAGGACUAGAGGAAGAAGUCGAGAAGCACAGGAGCAGCAACAUUUCAGGACUUCUUGGGUGGAAGAAAGUUGGCAGAGAGAAAGUCCACAGUGAGUAGUUAAACGUUAUAUGAAUUAAUACCCCCCAUCAAUAGUUUAAUGGAUGAAAUGCAUU